ensembl:lncRNA LINC00583 long intergenic non-protein coding RNA 583
UCUCAAAAGGCCACAUGUAGAAUAUUCAAAAAGUGUUGAAGUUUCAAAAAUCUUCUAAUAUUUUAAAUGCCUAAUAGACAUAAAACAAAAGACCAAACUCUCCUGCCUGCUCAGCAGUACAUAUGGCUUUUGAAUAGCCACACUCAAAUGACAGCCCCUGUUCCCCAGUUCAAACUUUCUGAGACUGCAAGCCUACUUUGCAAGAGGAAAAUCUCCACAGCUAUGUCAUCUACCUGCUUAUAGGGUGUAAAAUUCAAUCUAUGACUAACAAAUCAAUAUUGUAAAUUAUAUUACUUGGAUACUCAUUUGUCUUACAUUUAUUUAUUUAGCCUGCUCUGUGGGUCAAAUAAGAGGAGAAUCUUAAUAAACAGUCUUACUACUAUUGAA